AUACGGAGGGUGCAAGCGCUAAUCGGAAUUACUGGGCGCAAAGGGCGCGUAGGCGGUCUAUCAAGUCAGGUGUGAAAUCCCACGGCUCAACCGUGGAGGUGCAUCUGAAACUGAUAGACUUGAGUAUGGGAGAGGAAAGUGGAAUUCCCGGUGUAGAGGUGAAAUUCGUAGAUAGCGGGAGGAACACCAGUGGCGAAGGCGACUUUCUGGACCAAUACUGACGCUGAGGCGCGAAAGCGUGGGGAGCAAACAGGAUUAGAUACCCUAGUAGUCC
rnacentral:rRNA from 1 species